rnacentral:rRNA from 1 species
CUACGGGGCGCUGCAGCGGGGAAUAUUGCACAAUGGGCGCAAGCCUGAUGCAGCCAUGCCGCGUGUAUGAAGAAGGCCUUCGGGUUGUAAAGUACUUUCAGCGGGGAGGAAGGGAGUAAAGUUAAUACCUUUGCUCAUUGACGUUACCCGCAGAGGAAGCACCGGCUAACUCCGUGCCAGCAGCCGCGGUAAUACGGAGGGUGCAAGCGUUAAUCGGAAUUACUGGGCGUAAAGCGCACGCAGGCGGUUUGUUAAGUCAGAUGUGAAAUCCCCGGGCUCAACCUGGGAACUGCAUCUGAUACUGGCAAGCUUGAGUCUCGUAGAGGGGGGUAGAAUUCCAGGUGUAGCGGUGAAAUGCGUAGAGAUCUGGAGGAAUACCGGUGGCGAAGGCGACCCCCUGGACGAAGACUGACGCUCAGGUGCGAAAGCGUGGGGAGCAAACAGGAUUAGAUACCCGCGUAGUC